AUUGAACGCUGGCGGCAGGCCUAACACAUGCAAGUCGAGCGAGGGGCGGAUGGGUGAGAAGUGCCUGGCAAUUGCCCAGUCGAGGGGGAUAACAGGUGGACACGACUGCUAACACCGCAUAUGACUCGAUUGCUCAGGUGGCAUUGGAUAGUUGGUGGGGUAAUGGCUCACCAAGGCGAUGCUCCGUAGCUGGUCUGAGAGGAUGAUCAGCCACACUGGAACUGAGACACGGUCCAGACUCCUACGGGAGGCAGCAGUGGGGAAUAUUGCACAAUGGGCGAAAGCCUGAUGCAGCCAUGCCGCGUGUGUGAAGAAGGCCUUCGGGUUGUAAAGCACUUUCAGCGAGGAGGCGUUACUCGCAGAAGAAGCACCGGCUAACUCCGUGCCAGCAGCCGCGGUAAUAC
rnacentral:rRNA from 1 species